ACUAUUUUGGCAGAAAGAGUGUAACAGAUUUAGAAUCUGUAAAUAUGAUAAGUAAUCAUAAGUAGUA
rnacentral:tRNA from 1 species